UACGUAGGGUGCGAGCGUUAAUCGGAAUUACUGGGCGUAAAGCGUGCGCAGGCGGUCUGUUAAGACCGAUGUGAAAUCCCCGGGCUUAACCUGGGAAUGGCAUUUGGGACUGCAAGGCUGGAGUUUGGCAGAGGAGACUGGAAUUCCUGGUGUAGCAGUGAAGUGCGUAGAUAUCAGGAGGAAUACCGAUGGCGAAGGCAGGUCUCUGGGCUAUAACUGACGCUCAUGCACGAAAGCGUGGGGAGCAAACAGG
rnacentral:rRNA from 1 species